ACGUUGCACGCACCCCUGCUCCUCCUCCUGCACCCCCCCUCUCUCCGCAGCGAAAAAAGAACGGAAGGCGAACAGGAGGCGACGAAGGAACGCACACACGCACAGACGCACAGAGGCGGGAGAAGACGGGGCGCAAGAAGCACGCACACGAGAAGGCACACAGCAGCGUCACGUGCGCUGCCGUUUCGGGUGUGCUCUUCGGUACUUCUGCUGCCCCUUUGCUCUGUUGGUCAUCUCCUCCCUUCUUACUCCUGGCUCUGCCUCUCCGGCCAAUCCUCUGCGCGUCUGCGAGAACUGCGAGGGUGUAUUCUCCUUCUGUCGUCGACGCCUCGCUUCCCUUUUCUGCUCCAGUGCGUUGAUCGACGCUCUCUGGCGCUGUGGAGGAUUCCGUGCCCUUGCUUUGCUCGGUCACACACUACUCUCUUUCUCUCCCCACGGACUCCUUCCGUGCCCUGUCGCUGCUUCCUGACGAGGGAGAGCGAGCGAGCGAGUGCGAGGACCCUGAGGGACACUCCUCCAGCGCGUCAAGUGGAAUCUUCCCCUACCGCUCGAAAAACAAAGGGGGAGGGAGUAAGGCUAACGAAGAGAAAGGCGUGCGUGUUGCCGCAAAACACAUAAAAAGCACUGCCCACCUGCGUGCGCAUCAGCUUCGUCACCACAGACACAAGCACAGGCAGGGGCACACGCGAGCAACUCCCUCCGCUCACCCACCCGCCUGUUCCCGUUGCCCAGGCUCCGUCUCCCCUCCGUCUCCGUCCUCUCCCCUCCGGCAAACCUCUUAUUGGCCUACCAGUGUGUGCGUGUGUGUGUGUCGACGCGCGCUUGAGUUUCAUUUGCCACCCCCUUUUUCAGCUCCCAUUUCUUCCCCUCCUCACCAUCCGAGGCCGUACGUGUAUCUGUGUGUGCGACGGAGGCCACGGCGACUGCGUUUCGACCACUUUUCUGCCACCGCAUCCAACGCACCUCAGCUGGAAGGAGUAAGGAAACAAAGGGCAGGAAGACCUGCAAAGGGUGGCAGCAGAAGAACCGCCGUAAGACACAGUCGUAUUUGUCUUCUUUCUCUAUUCACCCUCCUCCUCGCAAACUCGCUUCCCCUAUUUCGUGCUUGGUUUUUCCUUUUCCGUUCUGCCGUCUGUAGCGUCGCCCUCAACGUUCUCUUCCUCAUCCUGUCGACCUCCCUCAGCUUCCUUGUGCACUCUGUUUGCAUUGUCGCCCUCUUUUUGCGUUUGCUUAACGUCGCCGUCUCCACCUCCUCUCUUGCUCUCCCCCGUGUUCGGUGGUGUCGCGCACGAGGCACUCGCUUUUCUGGCUUUUCUGGCUUUUCUGGUUUCCUUUUCGCUCCCCACUUCCCUGUCCCAGUCGUCUUGUUUGUUUCUUCUCUGUUCUUUAUUAUCAUUUUUUCUUCUCUCGCGUGCUCGCAGCAUCGCGAGCGACGUCUGUAUCCACUCGUUGCCGUGUAGAAGGGCAGGCGGCAGUUGCAGCGACAGAAACACGCAAGGGCACCGAACAGAAGCGCCAAGGUUUUUGUGCUUCUCCCUUGAGGCUGCGUGUGUGUGUGUGUGUUUCCGUUGCCGUGUCUCCGAGUGCCCGAGUCGAGGCGUGAGCCCUGACCUGUCUCGAGAGCACUACAGUUGUGCGGCGCACCCAUACUCAGCCGUACGCGGUGCCCACCCGCCCACUCAUCCUUCACCCCACCACCGUAAAGCAGCAAGAGACAGCCUGAUAGCACACCCGAAGUGGAAAGACAUUUUUGAUCAACUUUAGCGGCGGCAGACAGCAACAACAAAGCAUCCCUCCAACCCACCCCUGAAACAACAACAGCAUACCUCCUUUUCUGCUGCUUUUACGUGUUUCCGUGCUUCACUUUCUCUCUCUCUGCCUGGACUACUCCUCUUACCUCCCUUUAGGCUCUCGCUGUUCUCCGCGUCUCUUCUCUGUGUGGGUGCGUAUCUGCGUAGUCGAGGAACGCUUUCGCAUAUUCUAUCUGCAUUGCAAGGGUCGACAACGGCAUCAUCUGAGAAGCGGCAGCAGGAAGCUCUACAAGGGACGGUAAAGGGCACGACAGGCAAGCUAGAGUCGUGCUGGGUUUGUUGUUGUGCUUCCGUGAGCUUAAGCCCGUUCGUGGUUGUUGUGUGUACUCUCCCCCUACUGCCUAGCUUGCUCUUUUCAUUCAACUCCUCUCGUUUCUCUCUCUCCCUGUUUGUGUGUUUGGGGACAUCCUGAGUGCUGGAUUAUCGCGCUCGCCUUUCCCAGCCGUGUUUCUCUUUGCGUUACGCGUUCGCGUCUGUCCUGAUUUUUUUCGUGUUUGGUUUUCAUUGUCGCGCGCCCUCGUCCUUUGUGUCUUUUUGUGUUGGCAUUUUUGGUCUCUCAUUGAACUCGUUUCUCGGUUUCUGCAUAACCACCAACCUGCCGCUCUCUAUCAAUAUAUGCAUGUAUCUCUGCACCUAAGUUGAAACCACACCGGGCAAGAGAACAGAAACGCGCAAACAACAAGGAAAACAAGCAAAAGAACGCAUAGAAAUCGAUAAGUAGUCAAUUCCCCAUAUCUCUCUGUUUCCGUUUCUUUAUCCAAGCACUUUUAUGCUUUUGUUCGGUCGUUCCUGUUGUUUCGCUCAACUCUUCGUCAGCAGUAUUGUCUGCCACCCCUGCUCUCCCCUCGUCCCCCCUUCCUCCUCGCCUCACUACUUCGUAUGCGGGUUCGUGGAUUCCUUUUUCUUUCCUUUUUCUUUCAUUUUUCGUGUUUUUCUUGUUUCGCUCGCUCACUGGUUUGUUUGCACGUGUCCCAUUGAGCGUCUCCUCGCGCACCCCUUCUCUCUGAUUCCAUUCGUUUAGGUAUUUUCCGGCAAAAGACACUGCCGCUGGCUGCGUGGCUCUCUGCCCCUUUCUGCGCAGACAACUCUCGCCUCCUCCUUCCCACAUCCCUGGCUCGUCGUGCGUGGUGUCUCGACUCCGUGCCCCCCCCUUUGCCUUUCACUUGCUUUCUCUCUCUUGUGCAUAUACAUACAUACAUAUGUAUAUAUAUAUAUUAUAUAUUCGAUUUCCAGGCAAACCGAGACCACGAACCGCGAGGAAAUCCAGCGAGCCGUCAGCAAUAGCACGCGCACGUAGGCACCAUCAAAGAUAGCUGUGCAAGUAUAACAUUUUAAGGUUGUUUCCACCACCUCUCUUUGUGCUGCUGUGCUGUUCUUGUUUCCGAUUUUUAUUUGUCCUCUGAAGUGGUACGAAACGUUUUCUGAGCUUUCUUUUGUCCGUUCAUUUGUGAUGUUUAUAUUCCUUCCGUAUUUUGCAAUCGAACGCGUGCCGACCACACCAAAAAAGCGUGUCUCUCCGCUGUCUGCCUCUUCCCUCUCGGCCCCCACUCUUUCUCGGCAGGUGAAGUGUUUCCUCUUUCUUUUUUCCUUUUGCGUGUGAUCGUGUGCGUGUGUGUGGCAGAGGAGGGUAAGCGUGCGUCCCUCUGGCUGUUCUCUUCACUUCCACCCACCCACCCACCGUCAGAUUCUCCAGUGCAACCACCGCGCAAGUGACGCGAUUUCACGUUAGUCUGGACUGGCUGGCGUCCUUUCUCCCUCGCGCUCUCUCUCGUUUCUUGUUUUUGUUUUCGCUUUGCGGUUCUUCCUGUCUUCAGUCUGUUUUUUGCAGCCAUCUAUCUUCCCCUGCGCGCCUCGGCGUCUGCGGGUGUGCUGUUCUCCUCCAGCGCAGCAUCACAGCCACGGCUCACGCCUUGGAUCAGCGUAAGAGCAAUAUCAGAAGGCUACACACAGGCAUAGACGAAGGAAGCGUACGCACUAACCCUGACAGCGCAGAAUCCACUUGCCGAUCGCAGCAGUAGACCCUUCUCUUCGCCUCACAGCAUUUUGUUUGCCCCCCUUGUACGAGUGCCUACGGUGAUUUGCACCGGCAUCUCGUUCUGUGCGCUUGUGCGUGCGCAUACGAACGCGAGCACGUCUGGGCUUCGCGUAGGGGCGAGACUUUUGAUUCGGCUCUAUUUGCAAAUCACCCAACCGUUUGGCCGCGCCAAUCUCCAAGAUGAUGCACAUCGCCCCUCUGACACUCACAGCGCAGCUGUGCUACCUCAUUGCUGGCACGGUGGUGUGCGUCUUCUUUACCGUCUUUGGUUACCUGGUGUGGCGUACGCAGGGCUAUUACGAGCUUACACCUGAAGGGCAGCGACGAAGCGCCGGCUUUACGCCGAACGGUAUCGCCGGUGUCACGGGCUUCUUCACGUUCGCCGGCCUCGCUGUGGCGCUUCUCAUCGAGACGACGCUCUUCUACGUGCGCUACGCCUUCCACCCAUCCCACAAGGGCCGCUACUGGGCGAUGCACCGGUAUGCCUCCGUGAUCCUUCAGGCAGCUCUGGGUAUCCUCUACGUGGCGACUGGUGUGACGCUCCUCGUCGAGUGGGGCGGCAAUCCUGCACAGUGCGCUUUCAUCUUCUGCUUGGGAGUCGACAAGUACCCGGAGGCGCCUCGAACGCGCGGUGAGGACUUCAAUGUUACUCUCUCCGUGAUCACCUUCUUCGUCCUGGUGCCUGCAGGGCUGGUGCUGCUGUACCGCGUCUUCACUACUGUCAUGCUGCAGAGGACCGCGAAGGUGGUGCGCGAGCGUGACGCGGCGAGCGUGGCAGCCGGCGCGCAAGCGUCCAGCAGCGCUUCCGGCCAGUCCACCGGCGAAGAGACGCCCUCGCCGGGAAGGGGUCGUGGUGCGAUUGCUGCGGUCGCGACGGAGGCGAACCCAAUGGCGAAGUCGGAGCGCAUGUGGCCAUUUCAGGCGAGAUCGAGGGUGAAGCAGGUGUGCCGCCUUGUCGGCGUGCUGAUUGGCAUCCUGGUGUGCGCCAUUCUCUCCUUCUGGCUGCCAAAUGACUCGCGCCGCUUGAGCCCCGACUGUAUCGCCUCCUUCGCUCGCAAUGGCAUCUCGCGGGAGAGACCACUACUAACAUGACUGUGCCGGAGAUGCCGGACGCGUGGCUCCGCACCGGCCAGAUCCGCUUCUCUGAUGACCUGACGCUGAAGCUGUUCCCGGGCAACGUCUUCUUCUACGCGUACCUGCUGACGACGGCGAUCGUUGUGUUGGUGCUGCGGCUGACGCAGCGCGGGCGGUACUGGGUGCAGCGCCGCAUUCCGCUGUGCGCGUGCUUCACAUAUGGCGAGGCCGCUUUUGUCGCCGCCACGGCGCUGCUGUCGGUCAUGUUCUUCAUCUACUGGCUGCACGACCACAACUACAAGCAGACCUGGACUGUGACAGCGAAUGAGAGUGCACAGAUUGAGGCGCCGGAGCGGUGGGCCCGCGGGCUGGGCCAGCUGGCCAUCCUGUUCCUUUCGCUGCUGUUGCUGCCGGUGAGCCGUCAGUCGGUGGUGGUCAGCGUGCUUGGUGUGUCGCGGGAUGGCAUGUUGUGGUUCCACCGCGCUGUCGGCUACGCCAUGCUGGCGGCCACGGUCGGCCACAUCGUGGCCUUCUAUGUGUCCUACGCCAGUUUUGGGUAUCUCAUGCAGAACCUGAACACCGUCACCAAUCGCGUGUGCAAGAAGGGUGUUUACGACGACUACACCGUUUUGGUCGUGACGUGGACAACGUGGUUCCUGCUGAUCUCCAUGGGCAUCUUCGCCUUCAAUCUGGUGCGCCGCCGCCACUACGAGCUGUUCUACUACACGCACCUCGCCGCGACCUACAUGACGCUACCCGCCAUGGUCUUCCACGCCUCUGCUGGCUGGAUGUACCUGCUCCCCGGCAUGACGGUGUUCCUGUCUGACCAGCUGGUGCGUCUGUGGCAGCGGUCCGCCGUGGUGCGCGUCGUGCGCGCGCGCGUGAUCGGCGACGACACGACGGAGCUGGCCUUCUCUGUGCCCGGGCGACGGGACAUGCGGCACGUGCACCCGGGGCAGUACGUGCUGGUGUGCGUGCCGGAGCUGACGGCGCUGCAGUGGCACCCCUUCACUCUGAUCAACGUCGUGGACGAGGAGUCGGCUGCCGUCGGAAGCUCGAAGGCGAGCACGACGGGGACCGUGUUCUACGUGCACGUCAAGUCGAUGGGGCCGAAGACGUGGACGGGGCGGCUGUACGACCUAGUGAGCCGCGGCGAAGAGAUCACGAUGGCUGUGGAGGGGCCUUGUGGGACGCCGGUGGACUACCGCCACUAUGACAAUAUUGUUCUGGUUGCCGGUGGCAUCGGCGCGACGCCGUGCGUAUCGAUCCUCGGGUCGCUGCUGCGCCAGUGCCACGCUCUCGGCCACAGUGGCGCUAGCCCACGUGUGGAUUUCAUUUGGUCUACUCGCUCUGCGCGUCACGUGAAGGCUGUAGCAGACAUGCUGCAGCUGCCGAUGCGGUGUGGCGACGUGGUUCGUCAGCCUGCAACCCGUUCGGCGUUGAAGAAGAUCGACACGUGUGCGGCCCCCGACGACAUCACCAAAGAUGCCAGACUGAAUACCGAGAUCAUCCAGCCCGCCGACUCCCUGGAGCAGGACGAGCCGCUAAAUGAUGAACUCAGUGCGGUGAACGAGGUCGUCCGCAUUGCUGACGACGCAGCGCAAAAAGUUUUCAUCGACGUCUACGUCACUCGUAAGACGGAGCUGCGGCAUUUUUCCAACGGAGAUGCGUGCCUGGGCGAGCAGUGCCCAUCAAAGGCCCUCCUCUCGGCAAGGAAAGGCUUUGUGGAGCUGGAUGGCAAACCGCUUAGUUGCGCGGGUGCCAUUGAGAAUGCCCAAAAUGCUGUGGACAGCGCCUCUCCUUGGAAGCAGAAGGCAGCGGCGGCGAUGACGCCCGGGCUGCAUGGCAAGGCUGACGAUGCGGGAGAAGCGGAGGAGAUGGUGUUCUCCAAUGCGUCUAUGGGCAGUGAAAGCGAAGGCUUUGAUUCGGCGAGCGCCGAUGGCUGUGAGGAUGGCAUCGAAGGCGCUUCCGAGUCGACUGCGCAUAAAAAGGAGCGGAAAACUGUUGUCGACACUGCAUCUGCUACGGAUCAGGAAGGUGCCUUGGUGUCAAAUGGUCUUUCCAAGUGGUCGUCGAGCUCUGUUAUGAAGUCGGGCGAGCGCCUGCAUGACAACAGCGACAGCAGCGGCAGCGGGUGUGUGGCGGUGAAGGUGCACCUGGGGCGCCCCGAUGUCGAUCGCCUCAUCCGCGAGGCACUCAAGCAGCCUGGAACUGGCGUCCAUAAAUCCUCGAGACUGGACACGGCCCGCACGUUGUUGUUUGUGUGCGGUCCGAACUCGCUCGUUCGCCAGGUCACGUCCUCAGGGGCGCAGCUCGGUGUGGCGGUGCACAAGGAAGAAUUCCUCUUCUAGGUUUCUCUCAUGUGCGUGCCUGCGUGCUCCCUCUGUCGCCCCGUCAAUCUCUAAUGCUGGUCUUCCGUCUCGCGAACGCUUCCUCGCUAACUUUUGUUGGCGACUUGCCGCUGCGCUAUCAAGAUAGGCAGAGGGAGAGAGUCAUGUACAGCACCUCCUCCCCCAACUCCUCCAUCUGUUCGUGAAAACACGCAAGUGCUUGGGCGGAUGCGUGCUCCUCAAGCUGCGUGGGGCUUUCGCCGCACACGGCGAUGCUCCAGAGGCACUUUGCGUGCACAUGUCUGUGUUUUAGAGUGAAGGUGGCAAUGCAUGUCUGCCCUCUCUCUCUGCCAGAGACGGGGAGAGAGAGGUGGCGUGGUGGUCUGCGAUGAUGACAAGAAUGAGUUAUGCUGGCGGCGCUGGGCGAUGGCUGUGAUGGUGGCUGCGAGACACGUUUUCGUCGCUGCAACUGCUGCUGGUGCUCCUAGGGUCAGACCCCCACCCACCUCUCACUUGUAUCGUUUCCCUCUACUGCAUGCGGUCUCCUUUUUUCUUUCUGAUACGUGGAGGUAGCACACAUCAGAUACACUAUGGAGGGAUGGGAGGGGCGCGCUCUUUCUUUUUGGAUGCGCUCGCCGCUCUGUCGCGCCCCUUGUUUCCCCUUUUGACCUUUUUUGCCUGCCCAACCUCCCGACUGCGUGCGGUGCAGACGCUGAUACAAUGAAGUGGGUCCGAAUGCCCGGCCAAGCAAUGCCGAGCUACUCAUUUCGCUUGUAUCGCUCGUUCCCGUCUCUGGCAUCGAUAGGGAGAAUAGUGGAGCAUGAGGGCGCUUCUUUUCCCCACCUCGUUUCUGUUUUUCUUUUCUGUGUUGAUGGCCUCGAACUGGAAAAGGAACACGGCAGCUGAACUGUUGAACAGGGCGAGCUAAGAUCAACUGCCUCACCCUCUGCCGAGUUGCUUCAUCAGUCUCACGCAGACACACCGGUCAUGUAUGCGUGCGGCAAGCGCACACUCACACCCAAACAGCGAUGCAAAAGAAAAGGCGCCCACGUGUGUGUGCGUGUGUCUGUGCGCUCGUCUCUUCUCUUUUAUGUGUAUAUAUGUGUUUCUUUACGCGAGAGGCAGUCGAAGGAGGCGAGACGCAGAGUGGGGGAGUGGGGGAGACAAGAGUGCGCGAGAAGUGGCGAUGAUCUGCGGAUACUCCCUUUCGUUUCGUUCCUCGUUUGUGUGCGGGUGGGUGGGCUGCGGUGCACGCCCGCUAUCCGCUGCUGGCUCUGUGCCCCCCCCCUCGCCUUCUGCCUCCUUGUGGUGCUGCGUUUCCUUUUAUUCCUUUUUUUGCCCCCCCCCCUUCCCCUCCCCGCUUUGGUGCUCCCACGCGUGCAUGUGCACAUAUGUGUGUGGCCUGUGGCUCUCGCCUCUUCCUUCCCUUUGAACUUCAG
rnacentral:misc_RNA from 1 species